rnacentral:rRNA from 1 species
UACGUAGGCAGCGAGCGUUGUUCGGAAUUACUGGGCGUAAAGCGUGCGCAGGCGGUGAUGUAAGACAGUUGUGAAAUCCCCGGGCUCAACCUGGGAACUGCAUCUGUGACUGCAUCGCUGGAGUACGGUAGAGGGGGAUGGAAUUCCGCGUGUAGCAGUGAAAUGCGUAGAUAUGCGGAGGAACACCGAUGGCGAAGGCAAUCCCCUGGGCCUGUACUGACGCUCAUGCACGAAAGCGUGGGGAGCAAACAGG